GAUGAACGCUGGCGGCGUGCCUAAUACAUGCAAGUCGAGCGAACAGACGAGGAGCUUGCUCCUCUGACGUUAGCGGCGGACGGGUGAGUAACACGUGGAUAACCUACCUAUAAGACUGGGAUAACUUCGGGAAACCGGAGCUAAUACCGGAUAAUAUAUUGAACCGCAUGGUUCAAUAGUGAAAGACGGUUUUGCUGUCACUUAUAGAUGGAUCCGCGCCGCAUUAGCUAGUUGGUAAGGUAACGGCUUACCAAGGCAACGAUGCGUAGCCGACCUGAGAGGGGGAUCGGCCACACUGGAACUGAGACACGGUCCAGACUCCUACGGGAGGCAGCAGUAGGGAAUCUUCCGAAAUGGGCGAAAGCCUGACGGAGCAACGCCGCGUGAGUGAUGAAGGUCUUCGGAUCGUAAAACUCUGUUAUUAGGGAAGAACAAAUGUGUAAGUAACUAUGCACGUCUUGACGGUACCUAAUCAGAAAGCCACGGCUAACUACGUG
rnacentral:rRNA from 1 species